rnacentral:lncRNA from 1 species
UCUUAUUACACUCUAGCUUCUCUAGGCCUAUCUCAACUCUUUUUGCUCUUACACUCAUCAUCAAGCAUCCACACAUUCAAAUCAACCAACUCUCACAUUCAUUAAGCACAAAACAUCAGGUGAAUUCUUGCAAAUGGUCAGUUGGUCCAAGUCAUUUGGUUGGGUAAGGGAAGACUUUUAUUCAGGUGAGUGAAGAGAUUCAAAAUAUAUGAUCUUUAAGGUGGUUCACUCGCGAAACAAGUAGCCUUGACAUUGCACAUAAUAUAUCUAAGAAAGGGAUCAACUCAUGCAUACAAUGCUCAAUCUCCAUUGUUCUACCCUUUUCCCAAACAUACAAUUACACAAUCAUUCUCAAAUGUCAAACCCAACUCACAUCUCUCACCAAAAGAUCCUAAGAAAUUUAACUCCUUCUCUUUGAAAUCUACAAGGGAUUUUCUACAACCUCAAAACAUUUCGUAGCUCCUAACAAAUUUGCUAGCCCCCUUUUUCUUUCUUUUCUCUUUUUUUUUUAGGUGGGGGCCAAGACUUUCAUAACUUGAGCUAGAGGUUUAUCUACUUAUCCCAAUAAGACAAUUAACUUAAACACAAAGAGUCAUUUCUUUUCCUUUUUCAUUAUUCCCAAAUCAUAAUCACAACUCUCCCCCCCCCCCA